rnacentral:sRNA from 1 species
CUUGCGCUAGGGAUAGUAGUGAAAAGCCCACAGUAUGCGCAAUGGCAAUUGCGCGUACGAGGACUUGUAGUGAAUAGCCCGACCCUUU